UACGUAUGGAGCAAGCGUUAUCCGGAUUUACUGGGUGUAAAGGGAGCGCAGGCGGCUCUGCAAGUCUGAUGUGAAAGGCCGGGGCUCAACCCCGGGACUGCAUUGGAAACUGUAAAGCUAGAGUGCCGGAGAGGUAAGCGGAAUUCCUAGUGUAGCGGUGAAAUGCGUAGAUAUUAGGAGGAACACCAGUGGCGAAGGCGGCUUACUGGACGGCAACUGACGCUGAGGCUCGAAAGCGUGGGGAGCAAACAGG
rnacentral:rRNA from 1 species